GUGCACGCUGGCGGUAGGCCUCACACCUGCAAGUCGAACGGCAGCACAGUAAGAGCUUGCUCUUACGGGUGGCGAGUGGCGGACGGGUGAGGAAUACAUCGGAAUCUACUUUUUCGUGGGGGAUAACGUAGGGAAACUUACGCUAAUACCGCAUACGACCUACGGGUGAAAGCAGGGGAUCUUCGGACCUUGCGCGAUUGAAUGGGCCGAUGUCGGAUUAGCUAGUUGGCGGGGUAAAGGCCCACCAAGGCGACGAUCCGUAGCUGGUCUGAGAGGAUGAUCAGCCACACUGGAACUGAGACACGGUCCAGACUCCUACGGGAGGCAGCAGUGGGGAAUAUUGGACAAUGGGCGCAAGCCUGAUCCAGCCAUACCGCGUGGGUGAAGAAGGCCUUCGGGUUGUAAAGCCCUUUUGUUGGGAAAGAAAAGCAGCAGGUUAAUACCCCGCUGUUCUGACGGUACCCAAAGAAUAAGCACCGGCUAACUUCGUG
rnacentral:rRNA from 1 species